UAAUGCCUUAGAAUAUUUAUCCUCUCAAUUUCAGUAGUUUAUGUCUUCUCACGGAAUUAUUCAUCAGACCUCUUGCCCUUAUACCCCUCAGCAAAAUGGGGUUGCCGAGAGAAAGAACAGGCACAUUAUUGAGACUGCUCGCACUCUUCUCAUUGAAUCUCAUGUUCCGUUGCAUUUUUCCAAAUUCUUGGGUUAUUGAGACUGCUCGCACACUUCUCAUCGAAUCUCAUGUUCCGCUGCGUUUUUGGGGCGAUGCAGUUCUCGCAUCUUGUUAUUUGGUUAAUCGGAUGCCUUCAUCUCCCAUCCAGAAUCAGAUUCCUCAUGAGGUAUUGUUUCCCCAGUCACCCUUAUACCCUGUUCCCCCUCGUGUUUUCGGGAGCACUUGUUUCGUUCAUAACUUAGCUCCUGGGAAAGAUAAGUUAGCUCCUCGUGCUCUCAAGUGUGUCUUCCUUGGUUAUUCUCGUGCUCAUAAAGGCUACCGUUGUUAUUCACCUGAUCUUCGUAGGUACCUUAUGUCUGCCGAUGUCACAUUUUUUGAGUCUAAACUUUUCUUUACCUCUUCUGACCAUUCUGACCAUCUUGAUAUAUGUGAGGUUUUACAUAUACCGGCCUUUAGGGAGUCUACUGUGUCUCCUCCUUCACCUUCCGCUACAGUAGUCUUACCCAUUCCAAACGUUGGAACGUANNNNNNNNNNNNNNNNNNNNNNNNNNNNNNNNNNNNNNNNNCCGGCCUUUAGGGAGUCUACUAUAUCUCCUCCUUCAAGUUCCGCUACAGAAGUCUUACCCAUUCCAAACGUUGGAACGUCUACUGUGGCUCCUCCUAGAAUCCUUGCACAAGACACUCCACUCUUGACAUAUCAUCAUCGUCCUCGCUCAGCAUCUGGCCCGGUUGAUUCACGUCCUGCAC
rnacentral:lncRNA from 1 species